AAAGUAAGUACUUGAAUUUUCAAAUAUGAAUCCUCAAAGAAGCAAAGCAUCUCAAAACUUUACAUCCUUCUGAUACCGUGUCGCUGGUGUGGGGGUUAUUAUUUGAAUCUUUCUAUUUUUACAUUGCGUCUUUUAGGUCUCAUUUGCGAAUAAUAAUGGGAGCAACCUGUUAAAAUCAGCCAGCAAUCAGAGCAAUUUUUUGAGUCCCCAAACGGCUUCCAUUGAUGGUGAGAAUAAUCCACCUGCUCCGAAGAAAUUGAAGUGUUUGACUGCAAAUCACGCCCAGACUAAAGAUGCAUGUGUCAAUUCUAGCAGCGCAAGUAAACCUUUCAGGAAACCGCUGGCCAGCUUGAAUGAAAACAGUUCUGUCCCAGCCAAGGCAAGCCAUAAAAAUGUACAAAUUCCGGUUAAUCAUAGAAAACAGCUUGUUUUGGAUAAACCUAUACAUGUGAGUGAGCAGAAUUCUCAUCUUACUUCUAAGACUGGUCAGCUAGCUCUGAAUCAAUCUAAUAAUGUGGUUAAAUCAGUCCCUUUUGAUGACUGUGCUUUUCAAAACUAUCAUGAAAAUUGCAAUGAGGGUG